rnacentral:rRNA from 1 species
UACGAAGGGGGCUAGCGUUGCUCGGAAUCACUGGGCGUAAAGCGCACGUAGGCGGACUCUUAAGUCGGUGGUGAAAUCCUGGAGCUCAACUCCAGAACUGCCUUCGAUACUGGAGAGCUUGAGUCCGGGAGAGGUGAGUGGAACUGCGAGUGUAGAGGUGAAAUUCGUAGAUAUUCGCAAGAACACCAGUGGCGAAGGCGGCCUCACUGGCCCGGUACUGA